UAGGGAAUCUUCGGCAAUGGACGAAAGUCUGACCGAGCAACGCCGCGUGAGUGAAGAAGGUUUUCGGAUCGUAAAACUCUGUUGUUAGAGAAGAACAAGGACGUUAGUAACUGAACGUCCCCUGACGGUAUCUAACCAGAAAGCCACGGCUAACUACGUGCCAGCAGCCGCGGUAAUACGUAGGUGGCAAGCGUUGUCCGGAUUUAUUGGGCGUAAAGCGAGCGCAGGCGGUUUCUUAAGUCUGAUGUGAAAGCCCCCGGCUCAACCGGGGAGGGUCAUUGGAAACUGGGAGACUUGAGUGCAGAAGAGGCGGGUGGAAUUCCAUGUGUAGCGGUGAAAUGCGUAGAUAUAUGGAGGAACACCAGUGGCGAAGGCGGCUCUCUGGUCUGUAACUGACGCUGAGGCUAGAAAGCGUGGGGAGCAAACAGG
rnacentral:rRNA from 1 species